GGGCCCGCACAAGCGGAGGAACAUGUGGUUUAAUUCGAUGAUACGCGAGGAACCUUACCCGGGCUUGAAAUGGAGAGGAAUAAUUUGGAAACAGAUUAGUCGCAAGACCUCUUUGUAGGUGCUGCAUGGUUGUCGUCAGCUCGUGCCGUGAGGUGUCGGCUUAAGUGCCAUAACGAGCGCAACCCUUGCCAUUAGUUACCAGCAGUUAGAUGGGGACUCUAAUGGGACUGCCACCGUAAGGUGUGAGGAAGGUGGGGAUGACGUCAAAUCAGCACGGCCCUUACGUCCGGGGCGACACACGUGUUACAAUGGGUAGUACAGAGGGUUGCUACUGCGUGAGCAGAUGCUAAAUCUCUUAAAAACUAUUCUCAGUUCGGAUAGGAGUCUGCAACUCGACUCCUUGAAGCUGGAUUCGCUAGUAAUCGCGCAUCAGCCAUGGCG
rnacentral:rRNA from 1 species